CUAGCGACAGGCUAACACAUGCAAGUCGAGGGGCAGCACGGGAGUAGCAAUACAACUGGUGGCGACCGGCGCACGGGUGAGUAACGCGUAUGCAACCUACCUAUCAGAGGGGAAUAACCCGGCGAAAGUCGGACUAAUACCGCAUAAAACAGGGGCACCGCAUGGUGAUAUUUGUUAAAGAAAUUCGCUGAUAGAUGGGCAUGCGUUCCAUUAGGUAGUUGGUGAGGUAACGGCUCACCAAGCCGACGAUGGAUAGGGGAACUGAGAGGUUGGUCCCCCACACUGGUACUGAGACACGGACCAGACUCCUACGGGAGGCAGCAGUGAGGAAUAUUGGUCAAUGGGCGGGAGCCUGAACCAGCCAAGUCGCGUGAAGGAAGAAGGAUCUAUGGUUCGUAAACUUCUUUUGCAGGGGAAUAAAGUGCAGGACGUGUCCUGUUUUGUAUGUACCCUGAGAAUAAGGAUCGGCUAACUCCGUGCCAGCCGCCGC
rnacentral:rRNA from 1 species